rnacentral:tRNA from 1 species
GCUGUAGUAGGCGACGGAGCCCUCGACGACCGGGCCGUCGACCCGCAGGACACCGGGGAGCUGUUCGAUCCGGCUCUUCAGGUCC